UGAUAUAUCUGGUGAAUCUGGGUGUGC
rnacentral:piRNA from 1 species